rnacentral:rRNA from 1 species
CCCCGGGAGGGGAGUGAAAUAGAUCCUGAAACCGUGUGCAUACAAACAGUAGGAGCGGACUUGUUCCGUGACUGCGUACCUUUUGUAUAAUGGGUCAGCGACUUACAUUCAGUGGCAAGGUUAACCAAAUAGGGAAGCCGUAGAGAAAUCGAGUCCGAAUAGGGCGAUAGUCGCUGGGUGUAGACCCGAAACCAAGUGAUCUACUCAUGGCCAGGAUGAAGGUGCGGUAACACGCACUGGAGGUCCGAACCCACU